AUUCUUUCAGCCACAACCACAAAUUCCAAAUCCCAAUUCUAAACCUAAAAUUACAAUUUGAGUCAUGUAUCGUCUCUUUAACGACAAAUCUCGAUAAUCCUCUCCAGCCUUAUCAUCUCCGUUUUCGCUCACCGCGCUCCAGUCUCAACCUUCCGCAAUCCAACACCCACGUUGCUCGAUUUACGUGACAUUGGAUGUGCUAAAGGAAGACACUAUUGAAUGAAAGGGAUGAAACCUUCUUCAUUCCUCAUUCUCGUGGAAGAUUUGUGACCUAGCUUCCACCUGUUCAUCUCAUUGUUCUCACAUGCGCUCUCCCUUGUUCAUAUCAGAUUUUGAAAGUUUUUUUUUUUUUUUACAGUUUAUCAUGAUUUAUGAAGUGCUCGAGACUCAUCCGUUUUUAUUUCUAAUUGCUUUAAAUGAGUUUAUUACCUACAUGGUACAGGGACUUCUCAAAAUAUCGAGAAUUUGGUAGGGAGGUGAGCAAUGUUAGGGAUAUUUCUUUGAUAAAAUCUAAAAUAGUAUGUGCUUUCUAUUCUUUUAAUUUCCAUCUAUCUCUAUAGAGUUUGAGGUGCUUUUUAAUUUUUGUGGGGUUUCUAUCCAAAGUUUGGCCGGUAACCCCAAGGAUGCAAAAUAAGGUUUUUAUGGAUUUGGAUUCACCUUCUUGUGAACAUUUGAGUCAUGGUCUUUAUAUUCAUGGAGUUGUUUUGAUGUGUGACUUGACGUGGCUGAUAUUAGUGACUUUGUUGCUACUAAGGUACUCUUUCAACUCUCUUAUUUUUGUUUUUAUGAAAGGAUGUAAAAAUACACCAUGAUUUGAUUGAGGAAUGGUAAAUAAUUGAACCAUCAUCCACUAUUUCUCUAUAAACUUUCACUUUUUAUUUCAUUGCCUCACACAUGAACACUAAUUCAAUUGGAAAUCUUGUGAACAGUGCUCAAGGCUAUGCAAAUGGACGAUGAUAAAUAUAAAGAUCAAGUUGUAUUACGAUGAAGAUUUACUAGCUUUCUUAGUUUUCUGUUGAUUAAUUUAUAUUGUAUUAUUGUGUUUUUUUAAUGUGAGUACUAGUAUGAGGGAGUGAUGUGUGAUAUGUGUGAUACACAGUGAUUAUGCAUCUGUCAUAUAUAUUUUAUCUCCUUUUGAACCUCUUGCACUCCAUAUGCUUGAAGUGAUUAUUCAA